GUGGCGCACGGGUGAGUAACACGUAGGUAAUCUACCUUUGGAUUGGGAAUAACACCGAGAAAUCGGUGCUAAUACCGAAUAAUGCAGCGGCACCUAAUGGUGACAGUUGUUAAAGCGGGGGAUCGCAAGACCUCGCGUCUAAAGAGGAGCCUGCGGCGGAUUAGCUAGUUGGUAAGGUAACGGCUUACCAAGGCGAUGAUCCGUAGCCGGCCUGAGAGGGCGGUCGGCCACACUGACACUGACAUACGGGUCAGACUCCUACGGGAGGCAGCAGUCGGGAAUUUUGGGCAAUGGGCGAAAGCCUGACCCAGCAACGCCGCGUGAAGGAUGAAAUCCCUCGGGAUGUAAACUUCGCAAGAACGGGAAGAAUAAGUCGGUGCUAACACCAUCGGCGAUGACGGUACUGUAUGUAAGCUCCGGCUAACUCCGUGCCAGCAGCCGCGGUAAUACGGGGGGAGCAAGCGUUGUUCGGAUUUACUGGGCGUAAAGGGCGCGUAGGCGGCCACCGCAAGUCGACUGUGAAAUCUCCGGGCUUAACUCGGAAAGGUCAGCCGAUACUGCGGGGCUAGAG
rnacentral:rRNA from 1 species